UGCGAGCGUGACGGCGCGAGCAGGUGCGAAAGCAGGUCAUAGUGAUCCGGUGGUUCUGAAUGGAAGGGCCAUCGCUCAACGGAUAAAAGGUACUCCGGGGAUAACAGGCUGAUACCGCCCAAGAGUUCAUAUCGACGGCGGUGUUUGGCACCUCGAUGUCGGCUCAUCACAUCCUGGGGCUGAAGUAGGUCCCAAGGGUAUGGCUGUUCGCCAUUUAAAGUGGUACGCGAGCUGGGUUUAGAACGUCGUGAGACAGUUCGGUCCCUAUCUGCCGUGGGCGCUGGAGAACUGAGGGGGGCUGCUCCUAGUACGAGAGGACCGGAGUGGACGCAUCACUGGUGUUCGGGUUGUCAUGCCAAUGGCACUGCCCGGUAGCUAAAUGCGGAAGAGAUAAGUGCUGAAAGCAUCUAAGCACGAAACUUGC
rnacentral:rRNA from 1 species